CAGUAGCCGCGGGAAUACAGAGGGUGCGAGCGUUAAUCGGAUUUACUGGGCGUAAAGCGUGCGUAGGCGGCUUUUUAAGUCGGAUGUGAAAUCCCUGAGCUUAACUUAGGAAUUGCAUUCGAUACUGGGAAGCUAGAGUAUGGGAGAGGAUGGUAGAAUUCCAGGUGUAGCGGUGAAAUGCGUAGAGAUCUGGAGGAAUACCGAUGGCGAAGGCAGCCAUCUGGCCUAAUACUGAAGCUGAGGUACGAAAGCAUGGGGAGCAAACAGGAUUAGAUACCCCUGUAGUCCCUGUCUCUUAUAU
rnacentral:rRNA from 1 species